AGACCACAUGAAGCCAAUGAAUACUCUUCCAAAGGAGCAAACUCUUUUCCCAGCACCCUCCAUGGGUAAACAAGUUUCCAGUGAGAUUGAGACUAAUUUGGAUUCUUUCUGGCUCAGUUGUGAACAUAUGGACUGAUGCCAAUGGAACCAGUGGAAUGUCUCUGGAUAUACAUUCACUGUGACUGAGGCAAGCUUGGACUUCUGAGUGAGUUCUGGCCCAAAUUGAAACAAUCAAUGUGUAAAGUUCACCAAAAUCUACUAGUCAUGCUGGAAAGAUGUCCUGAGCAAGCUCAAACUUCUGACACUGCCUACAGCCAUAAAGCGAUGUGAACUGCGUGUACUUCAAUUGAUGAUCUGGGCAUUCCACAAAUUCCAGAACUAGCAUGUUUACUGCCCUGUAGUUGAUUGAUAUCUCCUAAUGAAGAAAGCACCUGGAAAAAUGAUAAAGGAAAGUUACUAAUUGGUUUAACUUAGGUCAGCCACUUCAUAUUUUAUAAAUGAGGAAACUUUUAAGGAAUUGCUUCUGGAAGCCAUCUGCUAACUAAAAAAUGAAUGAUAAUCAUCAGGUUCCACAUGCCAUUUACAGAAAGUAUCAUCAGAACAAAAAAAUACAGCUGCUUGCUUUGAAGAAAAGCAAUGUAGGAACUCAGAUUCAAAGCUCCUAAUAACCACUUAUGUGAUAUAAAGUGUUAAUCAGUUUGGUAUACGUGAACCUGUCAGCAGUUCUGGAUCCCUUCACUAUAUACCAAAGAUACGACUUGUGGUCACAUUUAAGAGCUGCCAGUAGAAUUUACAAUAACAAAAUAUGAUUUAUUAUUCCUUCCAGGACAUCUGAUGUUUCUUGUUCCCAAUUCUGUUUCCCUCCCCAUCAUCCUUUUUCCAGCUCAGACUAUAUCAGGCUAGGAAAUGUCCAGGAUGUGUGUAUUUCUCUUGUAUUGUGCAUAUUUCUGCAAGUCAUUAAACCUUUGUUUCUUGUCUUUUCUAACCUUAGUAUCUUACCUAAACAACUCUCAAAGAAAAAUGAGUCAAUCAGGAAAGAGACAGCUCUAGUGCCAAAACAAAAAAAAAUACUCAUGGAAAACUUACAAAAGGAAAAGCCUUCGCUUCAGGAAUGCAGGUACAACUUUGGGCCUUGCUCCUUUGAAGACAUAUACUGUGAUUUAAUUUCUUUCUGCUGCUGGUGCAACUCUACUGAAUCUGAAGGGCUAUACAUGUGCAUAAAAUUAAGCACAAUGAAAAAUGUGGGAAUACUUCAAGCUACAAUUUAAUAUGAAGAAUGCUACAUGAAAUGAGUAGUAUGAGGUUCUACUCCAUUUGUAAUUUCAAAAUAAAGACCUGU